UACGUAGGGGGCAAGCGUUGUCCGGAUUUAUUGGGCGUAAAGAACGUGUAGACGGCCAGACAGAUCCAUUGUGAAAACUCGAAACUCAACCUCGAAACGCCGAUGAAAACCGUCUGGCUAGAGUCCGGAAGAGGAGAGUGGAAUUCCUGGUGUAGCGGUGAAAUGCGCAGAUAUCAGGAAGAACACCCGUGGCUAAGGCGGCUCUCUAGUACGGUACUGACGCUGAGACGCGAAAGCGUGGGGAGCGAACAGG
rnacentral:rRNA from 1 species